rnacentral:rRNA from 1 species
UACAGAGGGGGCAAGCGUUGUUCGGAAUUACUGGGCGUAAAGGGCGCGUAGGCGGCCUGUUAAGUCGAACGUGAAAUCCCUAGGCUCAACCUAGGAACUGCGUCCGAUACUGGCAGGCUUGAAUUCGGGAGAGGGAUGCGGAAUUCCAGGUGUAGCGGUGAAAUGCGUAGAUAUCUGGAGGAACACCGGUGGCGAAGGCGGCAUCCUGGACCGAGAUUGACGCUGAGGCGCGAAAGCCAGGGGAGCAAACGGG